rnacentral:rRNA from 1 species
UGGGGAAUUUUGGACAAUGGGCGCAAGCCUGAUCCAGCCAUGCCGCGUGAGUGAAGAAGGCCUUCGGGUUGUAAAGCUCUUUCGGCGGGGACGAAAUGGUUCGUGCCAAUACCACGGACUGAUGACGGUACCUGAAGAAGAAGCACCGGCUAACUACGUGCCAGCAGCCGCGGUAAUACAGAGGGUGCGAGCGUUAAUCGGAAUUACUGGGCGUAAAGCGCACGUAGGUGGCGACGUAAGUCGGGUGUGAAAGCCCCGGGCUCAACCUGGGAACCGCAUUCGAGACUGUGUUGCUGGAGUACGGAAGAGGAGGGCGGAAUUCCCGGUGUAGCGGUGAAAUGCGUAGAUAUCGGGAGGAACAUCAGUGGCGAAGGCGGCCCUCUGGUCCAGUACUGACACUCAAGUGCGAAAGCGUGGGGAGCAAACAGGAUUAGAUACCCCUGUAGUCCCUGAGCGGGCUGGCAAGGCGCAU